CUACGGGCCGCUGCAGUCGAGAAUAUUCCACAAUGGGCGAAAGCCUGAUGGAGCGACGCCGCGUGCGGGAUGAAGGCCCUUGGGUUGUAAACCGCUUUUCUAUAGGAAGAAUUUUCUGACGGUACUAUAGGAAUAAGAGGUUGCUAACUCUGUGCCAGCAGCAGCGGUAAUACAGAGACCUCGAGCGUUAUCCGGAUUUAUUGGGCGUAAAGCGCAUGUAGGCGGAUAUAUUAGUCAGAUGUCAAAUCUCCGAGCUCAACUCGGAGCCUGCAUUUGAAACGGUAUAUCUAGAGGAAGGGAGAGAUCAAUGGAACGUAUGGUGUAGCAGUGAAAUGCGUUGAUAUCAUACGGAACACCAAAGGCGAAGGCAUUUGAUUGGCCCUUUUCUGACGCUGAGAUGCGAAAGCGUGGGUAGCGAAUGGGAUUAGAUACCCGCGUAGUC
rnacentral:rRNA from 1 species